rnacentral:rRNA from 1 species
UACAGAGGUCUCAAGCGUUGUUCGGAUUCAUUGGGCGUAAAGGGUUCGUAGGCGGCGCGGUAAGUCGGGUGUGAAAUCUCGGAGCUUAACUCCGAAACUGCAUUCGAUACUGCCGUGCUUGAGGACUGGAGAGGAGACUGGAAUUUACGGUGUAGCGGUGAAAUGCGUAGAUAUCGUAAGGAAGACCAGUGGCGAAGGCGGGUCUCUGGACAGUUACUGACGCUGAGGCACGAAGGUCAGGGGAGCAAACGGG